rnacentral:misc_RNA from 1 species
GUAUUCCACAAGCUUGUGAGAAUGUCGACCAAGAGGUCCAGCAUAUAUCACUUGUCCUCCUCUUUUCAUCAAUAAGAGCUCAUCAAAAGCUUCAAAGAUAUCAAUGCUCGGUUGGUGAAUUGUGCAAACAACAGUUCGUCCUGUAUCCACUGUAUUCCUUACUGUACGCAUAACGAUUGCUGCAGCUCUAGCAUCAAGGCCUGAUGUGGGCUCAUCCAUAAAGAUAAUUGAUGGAUUA